GAGUUUGAUCCUGGCUCAGGAUGAACGCUAGCGGCAGGCCUAACACAUGCAAGUCGAACGGUAACAGGAAAUAGCUUGCUAUUUUGCUGACGAGUGGCGCACGGGUGCGUAACGCGUAUACAAUCUACCUUUUGCUGAGGGAUAGCCCAGAGAAAUUUGGAUUAAUACCUCAUGGUAUUAUUGAUAGGCAUCUAUUAAUAAUUAAAGGUUACGGCAAAAGAUGAGUAUGCGUCCCAUUAGCUAGUUAGUGAAGUAACGGUUCACCAAGGCAACGAUGGGUAGGGGUCCUGAGAGGGAGAUCCCCCACACUGGUACUGAGACACGGACCAGACUCCUACGGGAGGCAGCAGUGAGGAAUAUUGGACAAUGGGCGAGAGCCUGAUCCAGCCAUGCCGCGUGCAGGAAGACUGCCCUAUGGGUUGUAAACUGCUUUUAUACAGGAAGAAUAAGCCUUACGUGUAAGGUGAUGACGGUACUGUAAGAAUAAGGACCGGCUAACUCCGUGCCAGCAGCCGCGGUAAUACGGAGGGUCCGAGCGUUAUCCGGAAUUAUUGGGUUUAAAGGGUCCGUAGGCGGAUGAUUAAGUCAGGGGUGAAAGUUUGCAGCUCAACUGUAAAAUUGCCUUUGGUACUGGUCAUCUUGAGUUGUAUUGAAGUAGGCGGAAUAUGUAGUGUAGCGGUGAAAU
rnacentral:rRNA from 1 species